UCUAUACUGUGAACCUCUGGCGAUGAAGGUCGUAACUGACCUUCGAGAGAGACUCAGGACAUAUAGGCUAUAAUGGGUAGGCCUGUUCUGGGGUUUGAUCGAUGCCAAUCAGGAUUACCUUUCUUCCUUUGGGAAGGAAGGUGCCUGGUACCCUUUACCAUAUACCAUGAAUUCAGAAUUGAAAGUAUAAUAUAAUAACAACUUUUAACAAUGGAUCUCUUGGUUCUCGCAUCGAUGAAGAACGUAGCAAAGUGCGAUAACUAGUGUGAAUUGCAUAUUCGUGAAUCAUCGAGUCUUUGAACGCAGCUUGCACUCUAUGGAUCUUCUAUAGAGUACGCUUGCUUCAGUAUCAUAACCAACCCACACAUAAAAUUUAUUUUAUGUGGUGAUGGACAAGCUCGGUUAAAUUUAAUUAUUAUACCGAUUGUCUAAAAUACAGCCUCUUUGUAAUUUUCAUUAAAUUACGAACUACCUAGCCAUCGUGCUUUUUUGGUCCAACCAAAAAACAUUUAAUCUAGGGGUUCUGCCAGCCAGCAGAUAUUUUAAUGCUCUUUAACUAU
rnacentral:rRNA from 1 species